GCAUAUGAAAAAUGUUCUUACCUAAUUAAUAUGGAGAUCGUUUAGCGUUGUUAAUUUUUUCAAAACAAACCAGAUUAUCCAAACGAAAAAGCUCCCUCAUUGAUAAGUUGAUGUCUAAGGUAAAAAAAAAUAAUGACGACAUUAAUGAGUCAAAACCGAAACUCCAAAUAAAAGGCAGCCUAGUCUUCAAAAAUAGAUCACUAGCGAGAUAUGUUGAAAUUGGAUGGCUUAAUUUUGAUAUGUCGCCGUAUAAACAGGUGAGAACUAUUAAUCGUGGUGUUACAAGAAAAGUACUAGUACAAAAAACAUUUUACAAGUCAGAUUUGAUUGAUGUGGCUAAAGAAUUAUUUUUUCCUGAUGGAAGAUCAUCUAAAGGAAUGAUUGGUGAAUUUUCAAUAAAUUUAUUUCACUUCCAGAAAAAUUAUUUACCUGAUGACAUGUCAGUAGGUGAAUUAUAUGAUAAAACAGGUUUGAAUUCAUUAAGAUUUUAUUUGGCAACAAAGCAGACAAAUUCAACUAUUUGGUUCCCUGUUGGUAAAAAAAAAAAAAAACAUACUGAUACUUCUAGUAUAGUUCAAUUUUAAUUUUUAAUUCUAAUUUCAACUCGUUAGAUUUUUUUCUAUAUUUUGUAGGAAAAACUUUUUCAUUUUUUUGUUUUAUCAGCACUUUUAAGACAUUAAAAUGCUAGUUAAUUUUGAGGAAUUAAGUAAAGUAAUUUGAAACCGUAAUACGUAAACUAUCCAAAACGUCCAAAAUCUGUUUCCUACAAAUCACAGAAAAGAGGCUGACGAAUUCAAAUAUUUUUUUUCAAAAUUGAAAUUUAAUCAUUAGAAGUAUGUUAAUUUUUCGCCAGCAUAUUAUUCAUUGUCGCGAGUGAAGAAAAACAUUUUUUGAGAGUGCUUUCGUUGACUUGUGCACACGCGUACGUGUGCUAUGGAACAUGGUCGUGGCCGUUCGCCUGCAGCCGGUAGAUAUGAAAUCUAUUGUUAUCGAAUUCGAAUUUUUUCGAUAUAAUAAUUGUAUAUUUUACACAUACAUAUAGAACCGCACUCACACUAAUAAUCAUUUACGACUAACACAAAGAUUACAGGCGGCGAAGACAAGAUUAUAACUUGCCUAAAUUGUUCCCCUUAAAUAAUAGCCACUAAGAGGCAGUUACGGAUCCAGAGCAACAAUUUGUUUACAUCACAAAUACAAUUAUAAUAAAAUAAUAUACUUUAUUCUUAAUUUAAAAAUGUCAUAAUAGUAGGUAUCGGUAAUCAAUGUGAUAUAUAAAGCGGCAGUGUGAAAAAAAGUUUAUCUGUUAUUUAAUAUAUAAUAAUUAUAUUUAUAAAAAAUAUGCCUAGAUCCGUCCCUGCUAAGAGGCGCCUUAUCAUAUCAUAUUUUUACUUUUAUAGUUUUAUUAGAGUCCCACCAAAAGUUAUUGGGUAAUAUAAAUUAUAAAUAUCUUAAUAUAAAAUAGAUCAUUACGAUCGAAAAAACACGUUCGGUGGUCCGGUAUAAAUCAGAUAUCAGCUAUUGAAGUAAAGUAGGACAACAUUAUAUGAUCAAAGGCCCCACAAAAAUUGGCGUAGUUUUCAAGAUACAUACAAACUUAGGUUUUUAUUUUUUGGAAUUGGAUGAUAACGAAAUAUUUAAUAUAGAUUUAUUUAUAAAACAAACAUAUAUUUAGUAGACCGCAAUUAUUAUUAUACGAAAUACCUCCUCUCUCACGACACCCCAAAUGAUUGAUUUAUGAUAUUAUUUAUAUUUAUAUAUUAUAUUAUAAUAUAUAUGUAUGUGAUGUGCAUUUCUUAUGGAAUUUUCUUUAUACAUGAGCGUCACGGUUCUUUGCUUAUUUGUUAAUAUUUUUUAAUAUUUUUGUAGUGUGCAGUGUAACGAUAUAUUAUUAUCUUGUCAGUAAAUUAUAAUAUGUGUUACUUUUUACGCCAAAUAAUUCAUAUAGAUAUUAAUUAUUAUACCUACUUAUUAUUAUUAUUAUUAUUAUUAUUACGAGUUAUGAGAUAUGACAAAUUACAUAAAGCAUUAUACGAGUAGGCGCUUGUACAUUUGUGGCAACUAAAUUUCGAAGCAUGUACCUAAUGAAUCAUUCAAUUUUUUUUUUUUUUUUUGUUAUUUUCACCAAUAUAUAAAUAUGUAACAUUGGACGAUUCCGAUAAUAUGACGUUUAUCUUUAUCUCUAUCACUCGUAUAUUAUAUCGUUUAAUGUUUGUUUAUAUUAGAUAUAGGUACAACUGAUUUUUAAAACGCAGCGAUGAACUCUAUUUCAAUUGAAUUUAGACCCGGUGCCACUUUACCAAAUGUUGGGCAAUUCAUUAUAUAAAGUUUAAAAAUGAUAUUUUAUGUUUUAGUUGCCACCUCAAUUGUAAUUCUUUUCAAAAAUCUACUGUCAAGUACCAAUUAAGGAAGGGACGGAACGGCAAAGAAUUACAAUGAAAAAAACUAAGAAUUGCGCGUAUUUUGAUUGGCUGUAACUUGCUCAAUUUUGGACUUAGAAAAAUGGAUCAACUACCAAAUUCCAUUAAAAAAUUAGGCAAAAAAAACUAGUAGUUAAAAUAGGGUUGUAAUUUAAGAAAAAAAAGUUGUAUUGCACAUGCGCAAGUCUAAUUAAGUUAAAAAAAUUCAUAGGCCAUCAAAAAGUGUAUUUUUAUGUCAUAACAACCAAAUAGAAAACAGAAUUCAAAUUACAUUGCCCUACUCAAAGACAUUGAGUGUUCUCAAUUAGCGAUUACAAUCUGUAUAUAUAUAUAUAUAUAUAUAUAUUAUAUAUAUAUAUAUAUAUAUAUAUAUAUAUAUAGGUAACGGAAUUACGCUUCAAAUCAGUAUAUCUACCUAUAUACCUAUAAUAAUAAUAUCUUACGCCACUAAGUAAAUGUAGCACUUGCACCACCAGAAAAUCAUAAAGAUAGGUACAUAUAGUUUUUAUUUUCAAAAGUAUAUCUAUGUUUGUUUCUUAAAUUAGAAUAAAAUCAUAAACAUUUUGAAACUACUCGAGUUAGAAAU